rnacentral:rRNA from 1 species
CCUACGGGCGACAGCAGUGAGGAAUAUUGGUCAAUGGGCGAGAGUCUGAACCAGCCAAGUAGCGUGAAUGAUGACUGCCCUCUGGUUUUAAAACUUUUUUUGUAUGGGAAUAAAAUGUUCCACGUGUGGGAUUUUGUAUGUACCAUAUCAAUAAAGAUCGGCUAAAUCCGUGCUAGCAGCCGCGGUAAUACGGAGGAUCCGAGCGUUAUCCGGAUUUAUUGGGUUUAAAGGGAGCGUAGGUGGAGUGUUAAGUCAGUUGUGAAAGUCUGCGGCUCAACCGUGAAAUUGCAGUUGAAACUGGCAGGCUUGAGUACAGUAGAGGUGGGCGGAAUUCGUGGUGUAGCGGUGAAAUGCGUAGAGAUCACGAAGAACUCCGAUUGCGAAGGCAGCUCACUGGACUGCAACUGACACUGAGGCUCGAAAGUGUGGGUAUCAAACAGGAUUAGAUACCCGUGUAGUC